UCUCAAGCUACUAAGGGCGCACGGUGGAUGCCUUGGCGUCAGGGGCCGAGGAAGGACGCUGUCGGCGGCGAUAGGACCGGGGAGGUGCCUAACAACCUUCGAUCCGGUUGUCUCCGAAUGGGGGAACCCGGCGCGGGUCAUACCGCGUCAUCCCGCGCUGAAUCCAUAGGUGCGGGAAGGUCAGCCGGGGAACUGAAACAUCUCAGUACCCGGAGGAAAAGAAAUCAACCGAGAUUCCCGGAGUAGUGGCGAGCGAAACGGGAGGAGCCCAAACUCGCGGUGCGUGAUAGCCCGCAGGCGUUGCACCGCGGGGGUUGUGGGGCGUCGCUGGGCCGGACUGCGGUCCGGCCGGGAAGUCAUCAAUCCCUGCUCUAGCCGAUAUGUCCUGGAACGGCAUGCCAUAGACGGUGAGAGCCCGGUAGGCGAAAGGGCGGGGACUUCCUGGGCGACGUUCCCGAUUACCACGGGGCACGUGGAAUCCCGUGGGAAGCUGGGGGGACCACCCUCCAAGGCUAAAUACCCCUGACGACCGAUAGCGCACGAGUACCGUGAGGGAAAGGUGAAAAGAACCCCGGGAGGGGAGUGAAACAGAACCUGAAACCGUGUGCCUACAGACAGUCGGAGGGCUAUGCCGAUCCCUUCGGGGAUCGGAAUGCCUGACGGCGUGCCUAUUGAAGAAUGAGCCGGUGAGUUGCGCUGCGUGGCGAGCUGAAGGGAGAGAAUCCCGAAGGCGGAGGGAAACCGAGUCUGAAUAGGGCUCCGCUCCCGGAUGGGAGGGCGGCCGCAAGGCCGUCAGUCGCGUAGUGCAGACCCGAAACCGGGUGAGCUACCCAUGGCCAGGGUGAAGCGCGGUUAAUCCCGCGUGGAGGCCCGAACCCACUGGUGUUGCAAUACCAGGGGAUGAGCUGUGGGUAGGGGUGAAAUGCCAAUCGAACCCGGAGAUAGCUGGUUCUCCCCGAAAUGCAUUGAGGUGCAGCCCCGACGGAGCCGCCUGGAGGUAGAGCACUGGAUGGGCUAGGGCGGGAGGACCCGUACCGAACCCAACCAAACUCCGAAUGCCGGGUGGGUGCUCGUCGGGAGUGAGACGGUGGGGGAUAAGCUUCAUCGUCGAGAGGGAAACAGCCCAGACCGCCAGCUAAGGUCCCAGAAUGAUGGCUAAGUGGGAAAGGAAGUGGCACCGCUAAAACAGCCAGGAGGUUGGCUCAGAAGCAGCCAUCCUUUAAAGAGUGCGUAAUAGCUCACUGGUCGAGCGAUGCUGCGCCGAAGAUCCAACGGGGCUCAAGCCAUCUACCGAAGCUGCGGGUCUAGUCGCCCUCGGGCGACUGGGCGGUAGGGGAGCGUUCCGCGAUAGGUUGAAGGCAGACCGGAAGGACUGCUGGACGAAGCGGAAGUGCGAAUGCCGGCAUGAGUAGCGAAAAGGCAGGUGAGAAUCCUGCCCGCCGUAAGGCCAAGGAUUCUUACGCAAGGUUCGUCCUCGUAAGGUUAGGCGGGACCUAAGGCGAGGCCGACAGGCGUAGCCGAUGGACAGCCGGUCGACAUUCCGGCCCCGCUCUGGAUCCGUUACGAGCCACGGGGGGACGCAGGAGGGUAGGCCUACCGGGUGCUGGACGUCCCGGGCUAAGCGCGUAGGCGGAGGCUCUAGGCAAAUCCGGAGCCUCAUUCAACGCCGAGACGCGAAUGCGAGCUCAAGGGCAACCGCGAGCGAAGUGGCCGAGCCCACGCUGCCAAGAAAAGCCUCGUGGUCAGGAUUCCGGGCGCCCGUACCGCAAACCGACACAGGUGGCCGGGCACUUAACGUGCCAAGGCGCGCGAGAGAACCCUCGUCAAGGAACUCGGCAAAAUGACCCCGUAACUUCGGGAUAAGGGGUGCCUCCGUAGGGUGACCGCGUACAGCGGAAGCCCGAAGAGGUCGCAGAGAAUAGGCUCAGCCGACUGUUUAACAAAAACACAGGUCUCUGCUAAGCCGCAAGGCGACGUAUAGGGGCUGACGCCUGCCCAGUGCCGGAAGGUAAAGGAGAGGGGUUAGUCCGGGUUCGCCCGGGCGAAGCCUCAAACCGAAGCCCCGGUGAACGGCGGCCGUAACUAUAACGGUCCUAAGGUAGAUUCGCUGCCUUCCGUACUGGUAACAGUACGGUACGCAUCCGGCUAUAUGCUGGGAAGUCUGGUGAAUCCCACGCUACCUGAAACCGCUGGCACUUUGCCGAUGGAACUUCAGGUGACAAUGCGAUGGGUGCAGACGAUCAGCAGGAAAGACUGAUCACUUUCCGAGGUGGUCAGAAUCCUCAGAGACCAUACGCCGGACGUCCGAGAUCGGACGAAGAUAUGGUCCCGACUGCAUGGCGACAUGCAGGGGUGAUGACUGGGAACUAAGUCGCCCGCUCGACCGUCAGGUCGAGUAAGGUCUCAAGCGAAGUUCCUUGUCGGGUAAGUUCCGACCUGCACGAAUGGCGUAACGAGCUGAGCGCUGUCUCGAGGAGAGACUCGGCGAAGUUGUGCAGCCCGUGAAGACACGGGUAUCCCGCGGCUGGACGGAAAGACCCCGUGGAGCUUUACUGUAGCUUGCUAUUGGAUGUGGUCUUGUCGUGUAGAGGAUAGGUGGGAGGCGGAGAAGCCGGGGCGCCAGCUUCGGUGGAGCCAACCUUGGAAUACCACCCUCGGUAAGAUUACGUCCUAACCGGAGCCCUUAUCGGGCUUCGGGACAGUGGCAGGUGGGCAGUUUGACUGGGGCGGUCGCCUCCUAAAAGGUAACGGAGGCGCCCAAAGGUCCCCUCAGCACGGUUGGAAACCGUGCGGCGAGCGCAAGGGCAUAAGGGGGCUUGACUGUGAGGCCUACAAGCCGAGCAGAGGCGAAAGCCGGGCCUAGUGAUCCUACGGCGGCAAGUGGAAGCGCCGUGGCUUAACGGAUAAAAGCUACCCCGGGGAUAACAGGCUAAUAGGGCCCAAUAGUCCACAUAGACGGCCCUGUUUGGCACCUCGAUGUCGGCUCAUCUCAUCCUGGGGCUGUAGUAGGUCCCAAGGGUUGGGCUGUUCGCCCAUUAAAGAGGUACGUGAGCUGGGUUCAGAACGUCGUGAGACAGUAAGUGACCGCUGCUGUCUAUAAAUCUGGCUAAAUGCUGGGAAGCCUGGAGAAUCCCACGCUACCUCCUGAAAACGUCGGCACCGUGCCGAUGACUGUCAGGGGUAACAACGCGAUGGGCGCAGGUGAUCAGCAGGGAAGGCCAGAUGAGCAGAUCGGACACUACAUCGCGGGGUUCGUCGACGGAGAAGGUAGUUUCCACGUGGCGGUGCAGCGUAAUCCGACCACGCGGUUGAAAUGGCAGGUGAUUCCGGAAUUCCACAUCUCGCAGAACGACGGCAAUCAGCAUGUGCUGGCGCUAAUCCGAGACGUUCUGGGAUGUGGGUACAUCAAACCGAAUCACCCAGGCAGUCUCCGCGACAGAACCUGCGUGCUGGUAGUGAGGAACCACGCCGACCUAGUUGAGAAGGUGGUGCCGUUCUUCAGGCGGUUUCAGCUCCGUACGACGAAGCGGGCCGAUUUUGAUCGGUUCGUCGAGGUCCUCGGACUGAUCGCCGAAGACAAGCACCGCGACCCAGUUGGGCUGAAGCAAAUCCUGACUGUGGCCUUCUCAAUGAACCAGGGCGGAGCGAGGCGACGGAAGUCGCUGGAAACGAUCUUGGCUCAUCUGGAACCCUCAGAGACUAUACGCCAGACGCCCGAAAGGGCGAAGAUAUAGUCCGAGCUUCCGGGCGACCGGAAGAGGCAGGCAGAAAUGACCUGCCCCCUCUUCGAAUGCGGGGAGGAGUAACAACACUGUCGGUCCCUAUCCACCGCGGGCGCAGGAGACUUGAGGGGAGCUGCUCCUAGUACGAGAGGACCGGAGUGGACGGACCUCUGGUGUACCGGUUGUCCUGCCAAGGGCACGUGCCGGGUAGCCAUGUCCGGACGGGAUAAGCGCUGAAAGCAUCUAAGCGCGAAGCCCACCCCAAGACGAGGUCUCCCACCGGGUAACCGGGUAAGUCCCCUGGGAGAUGACCAGGUUGAUAGGCCGGCGGUGUAAGCGCGGUCAACGCGUUGAGCCUACCGGUACUAAUCGGACGAGGGCUUGAGCCC
rfam:Armatimonadetes bacterium CSP1-3 XT14_C0001, whole genome shotgun sequence.